AUCACUUCUUGGCCUUUUGGCUAAGAUCAAGUGUAGUAAAUAUGUGCGAAUUAUAACAAAUGUGAGUAUACGAUAUUCUUGUACCACUCUGCAAGGACAAGAUUUACGAAGAUCUCGAAGUUUUCAAGUUUUGAUGAAAUUACUCUCCCCUCAAUGAUCUUACUUCAU
rnacentral:snRNA from 1 species